GCGGACGUCGUUUAGACUGGUAGAACGCUAGCCUGCUAAGCUAGUGGGCUGCGGCCCGCGUGGGUUCAAGUCCCACCGUCCGCGCCA
rnacentral:tRNA from 1 species